UACGUAGGGUCCGAGCGUUGUCCGGAGUUACUGGGCGUAAAGGGCGCGCAGGUGGCGGUGUUGGCCCGGCGUGAAAGCCCCCGGCUCAACCGGGGAGGGUCGUCGGGGACCGCACCGCUUGAGGGCGGUAGGGGCUGGUGGAAUGCCUGGUGUAGUGGUGAAAUGCGUAGAGAUCAGGCGGAACACCCGUAGCAAAGGCGGCCAGCUGGGCCGUCCCUGACACUGAGGCGCGAAGGCGUGGGGAGCGAACGGG
rnacentral:rRNA from 1 species